rnacentral:rRNA from 1 species
CCUACGGGAGGCAGCAGUGAGGAAUAUUGGUCAAUGGACGCAAGUCUGAACCAGCCACGCCGCGUGCAGGAAGACGGCUCUAUGAGUUGUAAACUGCUUUUGUACGAGGGUAAACGCAGAUACGCGUAUCUGUCUGAACGUACCGUACGAAAAAGCAUCGGCUAACUCCGUGCCAGCAGCCGCGGUAAUACGGGGGAUGCGAGCGUUACCCGGAUUUGUUGGGUUUAAAGGGUGCGUAGCGGGAAUGCCAAGUCCGCGGUAAAAUCGCGGGGCUCAACCUCGCUGGGCCGUUGAAACUGGGGGUCUUGAGUGGGGGAGAAGUAUGCGGAAUGCGUGGUGUAGCGGUGAAAUGCAUAGAUAUAACGCAGAACUCCGAUUGCGAAGGCAGCAUACCGGAGCGCAACUGACGCUGAAGCACGAAAGCGUGGGGAUCGAACAGGAUUAGAUACCCUUGUAGUC